rnacentral:misc_RNA from 1 species
AAAAAUAAACAUGGCUGAGACAAAACCGCUAUCGUUUGGUUUCUCUAAAAAGAUCGAGAAAAAAGAGAUUUUAAAAUCAUCUGUGGCUGAGAAAGAAAAGGAAGAGGACACGACAAUCGAUUAUGUUACUUCAGUUGAUAACAAAACAUUAAAGGGGACAAAACCAGAAAAGGAGAAAAAAGAGUAUGUGAUUCCCCUGAUCAAACAAAAUAAAUGGAGGAGAGAGGAUAUAUUAAAGAAGGAGAAGGAUCGGGAUCAGCCACUUCAAGGAAAAGAUGCUGAGGAGGAUGAAGCCUUGAAGGAAAUUUUAGAGGAUGCAGCUCGUAAGAAUGAAGCGUGGGAUGAACAAGGAAAGGUAGAAGACUCUGACCUCCACAUUCCUCUGUUGAUGCAGAAUAAAGUUCCUGAGGGCUUUGAGACCGACGAUAAACUUGAUGUGUCACUGAGACCUAGUGAACCAGAUGAGGCAGAUUAUGAUGAGAUUCCUAUUGAACAAUAUGGCAUGGCUAUGUUACGAGGAAUGGGUUGGAAAGAUGGCGAGGGGAUAGGAAAGCACAAAAAAAAUGUUGCACCUGUCACUGCCACUCUUCGACCUAAGGGUCUUGGUUUGGGGGCUGAUAUCUCUGAAGCCAAACAAGCUAGGUGGAACGGAGAGGACAAAUCAAAAGACAUAGACGAGGACGUCCUGACUUUUAAAAAGGGAGCUUACUGUGUUCUUACUAAGGGAGUCAAUAAAGACUUGUAUGGAGUAAUCGAGGGUCUGGAUGAGGACAACGCUCGAGUGAUGGUGAAGUUGACACUGUCUGGUAAAAUAGUGACACAGAGUCAGUACAGUGUCAGACUGGUCAGCAAGAAGGAGUACAACAAGUACUCCAAGUACCUCAACAAAGGAAAAACUGAUGAAUACAAAGAGAAAGAAAGACAGAAGAAUGAGUCCAAGAAGCGAUCCAGGUCAAGGUCUCGAGAACGAUCUCAUAAAAGGUCACACAAACACAGAUCAAGGUCAAGGUCAAAGGGAAGGUCAGAAAAAUAUGAAUCAAGGUCAAAUGAAAAAUCUCACAGACGAGACAAAGAAGACAAAAAGAAAGAUUACAAAGAGAGAAAUGGGUCUCACAGGGAGGAAGAGAGUAGGAUCGGGGAGAGUAGACUUCAGGAGGAGGCGGACAGGCAUUAUCAAGAAGCAAGGAAGAGGAAGUAUGAAGAAAGGUUGGAAUUCUCUUAACAGUUACUUAAAAAUUAUACAAAAAACUAUACAUAUAAGCUUAAGCCUAGGAUAGGUUUUAUGAAGCAGGCAAGGUAAACCUUUUUAACAUGUAUUGACAAGGAUUUUUAAUGUUACUUUUUUCAAAAUUUGUGGUCCUUUUUCUUAGGAGGAGAUGUUAGAGACUAAACAAUGCUUUUACAGUUAGAACCAGUUUAAAGAUUUAUAAACUUAAGUUAAACCGUUGGCCUCCUGCAGAUGAUAAUAUGCAAUAUUUUUUCUAUGUGUAUUCUUGUGUAUUAGAUUUUUGUCUUUGUGUAUUCUUGUGUAUUAGAUUUUGAUAUAAUUUCCUUUUCUAAAAUGGUUAAUUUUACACACUUGUGAUACAUGUAUGUUAUCUUUGCUUUAUCAGAGAACAUGUUCCACGUCCAUCAGAAAUCUGGGUGAGGCCACAAAUUAAAGUCCGAAUUAUCGACAAGAAUUACAAGAAAGGAAAGUACCAUAAAAGCAAGGUAACAGUUUUAGAUGUUCCAGGGCCAGAAAACUGUAUUUGUAAAUCAGAAGAAGGAAAUGUGUUGGAAGGUCUAGCUCAAUCUCAGUUGGAGACAGUCAUCCCAAAAUCUGAGGGUGCAUUUGUUCUGGUUGUCUCAGGGAAGUACAAAGGACAGCUUGGAGAGGUGAUAUCAAAGAACAAGAAGAAGUCAAUGGCUGCAGUGCAGUUAUUACAGGAUAGAGACAGUGUGAUGAACAUUGACUUUGAUCAUAUAUGUGAAUUUGUGGGCGACAUUCAUGAACAGUUUGACUAUUAAAAAAGAUAGCUCAUUUGUGAAUCCCAACUCAUCUAUUCAAAAAUAAACAUAAUUUUUAUGC